CCUACGGGCGGCACCAGUGGGGAAUAUUGCACAAUGGGCGCAAGCCUGAUGCAGCCAUGCCGCGUGUAUGAAGAAGGCCUUCGGGUUGUAAAGUACUUUCAGCGGGGAGGAAGGUGUUGUGGUUAGUAACCACAGCAAUUGACGUUACCCGCAGAAGAAGCACCGGCUAACUCCGUGCCAGCAGCCGCGGUAAUACGGAGGGUGCAAGCGUUAAUCGGAAUUACUGGGCGUAAAGCGCACGCAGGCGGUCUGUCAAGUCGGAUGUGAAAUCCCCGGGCUCAACCUGGGAACUGCAUUCGAAACUGGCAGGCUAGAGUCUUGUAGAGGGGGGUAGAAUUCCAGGUGUAGCGGUGAAAUGCGUAGGGAUCUGGAGGAAUACCGGUGGCGAAGGCGGCCCCCUGGACAAAGACCGACGCUCAGGUGCGAAAGCGUGGGGAGCAAACAGGAUUAGAUACCCGGGUAGUC
rnacentral:rRNA from 1 species